UAGGGAACCUUCCACAAUGGACGAAAGUCUGAUGGAGCAACGCCGCGUGAGUGAAGAAGGUUUUCGGAUCGUAAAGCUCUGUUGUUGGUGAAGAAGGAUAGAGGCAGUAACUGGUCUUUAUUUGACGGUAAUCAACCAGAAAGUCACGGCUAACUACGUGCCAC
rnacentral:rRNA from 1 species